rnacentral:rRNA from 1 species
GAUGAACGCUGGCGGCGUGCCUAAUACAUGCAAGUCGAGCGAACGGACGAGAAGCUUGCUUCUCUGAUGUUAGCGGCGGACGGGUGAGUAACACGUGGAUAACCUACCUAUAAGACUGGGAUAACUUCGGGGAACCGGAGCUAAUACCGGAUAAUAUUUUGAACCGCAUGGUUCAAAAGUGAAAGACGGUCUUGCUGUCACUUAUAGAUGGAUCCGCGCUGCAUUAGCUAGUUGGUAAGGUAACGGCUUACCAAGGCAACGAUGCAUAGCCGACCUGAGGGGGUGAUCGGCCACACUGGAACUGAGACACGGUCCAGACUCCUACGGGAGGCAGCAGUAGGGAAUCUUCCGCAAUGGGCGAAAGCCUGACGGAGCAACGCCGCGUGAGUGAUGAAGGUCUUCGGAUCGUAAAACUCUGUUAUUAGGGAAGAACAUAUGUGUAAGUAACUGUGCACAUCUUGACGGUACCUAAUCAGAAAGCCACGGCUAACUACGUG